UGCCAGCCGCCGCGGUAAUACGUAGGUCCAGAGCGUUGUCCGGAUUUAUUGGGCGUAAAGCGAGCGUAGGCGGUUAGAUAAGUCUGAAGUUAAAGGCUGUGGCUUAACCAUAGUACGCUUUGGAAACUGUUUAACUUGAGUGCAGAAGGGGAGAGUGGAAUUCCAUGUGUAGCGGUGAAAUGCGUAGAUAUAUGGAGGAACACCGGUGGCGAAAGCGGCUCUCUGGUCUGUAACUUACGCUGAUGCUCGCAAGCGUGGGGCGCAAACAGCAUUAGAUA
rnacentral:rRNA from 1 species